rnacentral:rRNA from 1 species
CCCUUCCUUGUUUCUCCCGCCUAUAUACCGCCGUCGUCAGCUUACCCUGUGAAGGUCUAAUAGUAAGCAAAAUUGGCACCGCCCAGAACGUCAGGUCGAGGUGUAGCGCAUGAGAGGGGAAGAAAUGGGCUACAUUCGCUAACAUAGCGAAUACGAACGAUGCACUGAAAACGUUCAUCUGAAGGAGGAUUUAGCAGUAAGUGGAAAAUAGAGUGUUCCACUGAAAUCGGCUCUGAAGUGCGUACACACCGCCCGUCACUCUCCCCAAGCUUACCAAUUUAUAUAUCUAAAACGCUUUAACUGCGAAGGGGAGGCAAGUCGUAACAUGGUAAGUGUACCGGAAGGUGCACUUGGAAAAAU